UACUUGGUUGAUCCUGCCAAGGAAGCACACUUAGGUCAUAGAUUAAGCCAUGCAAGUGUUAGUUCAGGUAACGAAACUGCGAAUAGCUCAUUAAUACGCUCAGAAUCUAUUUGGCGGCGACCAACAGGUCUUAAAUGGAUAGCAGCAGCAACUCUGGUGCUAAUACAUGCGAUUGUUUCUCCAGAUGUGAAUUAUGGAGGAAAAGUUGACCUCAUCAGAGGCACGCCAUUCGACUGAGUGACCUAUCAGCUUGUACUUAGGGUCUUUACCUAGGUAGGCUAUCACGGGUAACGGGCGGUUACCGUCGGACUGCCGGAGAAGGCGCCUGAGAGAUAGCGACUAUAUCCACGGGUAGCAGCAGGCGCGAAACUUUCCCACUCGAGACUUUCGGAGGAGGUAAUGACCAGUUCCAUUGGUGCCUUUUGGUACUGUGGAUAGGGGGUACGGUUUUCCACCGUACCGAAACCUAGCAGAGGGCCAGUCUGGUGCCAGCAGCUGCGGUAAUUCCAGCUCUGCGAGUUUGCUCCCAUAUUGUUGCAGUUAAAACGCCCGUAGUCUGAAUUGGCCAGCAAUGGUCGUACGUAUUUUUACGUUCACUGUGAACAAAUCAGGACGCUUAGAGUAUGGCCACAUGAAUGACUCAGCGCAGUAUGAAGUCUUUGUUUUCUUC
rnacentral:ncRNA from 2 species